GACGAACGCUGGCGGCGUGCUUAACACAUGCAAGUCGAACGAAGUGGCGAACGGGUGAGUAACGCGUAAUCAACCUGCCCUUCAGAGGGGGACAACAGUUGGAAACGACUGCUAAUACCGCAUACUGAAGGAGGGGAUUGCGUCUGAUUAGCUAGUUGGAGGGGUAACGGCCCACCAAGGCGAUGAUCCGUAGCAGGUCUGAGUGGGUGAACGGCGACAUUGGGACCGAGACACGGCCCAGACUCCUACGGGGGGCAGCAGUGGGGAAUCUUCCGCAAUGGACGAAAGUCUGACGGAGCAACGCCGCGUGAGUGAUGACGGCCUUCGGGUUGUAAAGCUCUGUUAAUCGGGACGCGGUACCGGAAUAGAAAGCCACGGCUAACUACGUGCCAGCAGCCGCGGGAAUUC
rnacentral:rRNA from 1 species